rnacentral:lncRNA from 10 species
GAAACUGCAUCCAGUCAGUGCAGGUCAUUAAACUCAAGCAAAAGUUCACUGAAGCAAAGACACCUAUUGUUUAUCUCACAAAAUAACUGGAGGGUUUUCCAGAGAGAGUGGAGCACAAGGUAAAGGGCUGUUCUUAGCAACCAGAGCUAAAGAGCUGUGUGGGCUUACCCAUGAAGAGUACUGAAAAUUCAAGUUGUGUUAUUAGAAGUGAAGUUAUAUCCUGUGCCAUCCAUGUCCCUUCCUACUUCCCCAUGACAGACGUAAGGGUAAGACUUCUGGCUAAGGGAAAGGUGUACAGACUGUGCUCCUAAAAUAAAAUUAAAUUAAACACU